CCCAGGUUCACUGGCCUGUGAGAGAUGUAUCCUUUCAAGAACAGGUCAAGUAAAUUUCAGGCUACUGGAUCAUGUUCCCAGAUGAUAUGAGCAGGCGUUUCAGCCACCACUCCACUGCAUAUGCCUUCCUCUCCUAUUGAAAGCCUUUCUUGGAUUUCCUGGAUUUCUGGAAGUGGCAUAUACUAGACCAUCUCAUAUGCCAUUCCCAUCUCUUCCGAAGGGCAUGGUGUCUGCAAUUUACAGAAUCAUGCACAUGAACCACUCCAACAGCAAAGAAGCCCCAUGUGGACAUCAUCUAUAAAUUGAACCAAAGAAGUAACCAUGUAAUCAGUUUGUGAAAUGACCAACCCAUUUCAAGAACUAAAAUAAAAUUUAUUCAUAAGCAUAACUUAAGCCUAUC
rnacentral:lncRNA from 1 species